UAAUGGACUAUCCUCUCAGAUUUGGCAUAUCCAGGACACUCUUACAAAAGCCGUGAGUGAACUCCAUAUGCAUCUUCUUUACUGCGGAACCACCUUUUGGGGGCUAUACAGUGCAGAUUCUGCCAUAACAAUGUGCACAUGUUUAUCUUCAGAUUUAUUGAAAAUGAUAUGAAUGGAAAAUCACGUAUUGGGGUAAUGCCUCGUUUUGGUGAUGCUGACUCCAUCAUAUGGUUUGAUGUUGAGAACCACUGCAGUUACCAUUUAUUUAAUUGCUUUGAGGAUGAAAAUGAGGUAAAUCCUAUAGAAUCUAAAUGUACCCCGACAGAUCUAGAUAAAAGGGAGUCAUAUGACACUAAACAUUCCAUAUGUAAUAAUAAUUUAUAUCAGGAAUUGUUCAUAUUUUCCUGUUUUAUGUACUUUGAUAAAAAGCCUGUGAACAGGUUGUUGUGAGAGGCUGUCGGAUACUUGUUUCUAUUAUCCCUAGUGACCGUUAUAGAGCUGACAAGUCGAAAUGGUAUGGAAGGGCAUUUCUCCAACCUGAUAAGGAUUCAGAAGAUUUUGAUCCUUCACUAGAUGUCAUUCUUUUUUCUCACCCUUAUGAAUGGAGAUUAAAUUUGGAAAGUGGCACUACAAACGAAGGUUAUAUUACCAGUGAGAAAGUUGCAAUGGAUUUCCCUGUCAUCAAUGACAAAUUUAUAGGCAUUAGAAACAAGUAUGGAUAUGCUCAAGUUGUUGACUCAUUAGCAACAAGUAAAACAGGUAACAUACUUACUGUAGUAAUUUUUGAAAAAUCAUCUUCUUCUCAGUUGUUUUUGUUGUCCUUCUUGUUACACAAUCCAUGUUCAUGGCAUGUGUAAGGAUGCAGGCUUGUUUAAGUUUAAGAUGAUAGCAAAGCUGCACUUCGACAUGCCAGAUAAGGAAAACAAGCAAUUUAUCUCAGUGCAGUACCAUGACUUAAAAGAGGAACAGUUCUGCUCUGGAGUUCAAUUUGUUGCAAGGGAAAGCGGAAUCGAUGAAGAUGAUGGAUGGGUAGUUACAUAUGUCCAUGAAGAGGGAACAAACAUCUCUCAGGUCUACAUUAUUGACGCAAAAAGAUUUUCAGAGGAGCCAGUAGCAAAAAUUACUUUACCUCAAAGGGUUCCAUAUGGUUUCCAUGGGAAUUUCUUCUAUAAGUAUUGCAAAUGAACUGUAGCAAGCCAUACGCUAUUUGAAAUAAAGGAUAUAAUUUUCAUGGCUCACGCCUUCGUGUACUGUUCAAUCAGUUAUUGACAUGUUUGCACCAAUGUUUUUUUAGCAACAAUUCAAGAAUGGCAGUUUAGAGGAGUGUGCAUCUGGUGGGUUAAGGAAUAGGAUUAUAGGAGUAGGACUUUGUUUUCUGUCCUUGUACCUUGUUUUGCAAUACAUUUCGGAUGGCAUAUGUUAUGAUGAAAAACUAGGUGUAUUUUGUCAUUCUCCAA